CUCCGGCCCCGGGUUUGACCCGAGAGAUCCUUUCCUUGGGGUAAAAAUACAGCAAUGAGAAGGUGCUGGGGUUCGGAGACCUGCCCGCGGUGCGCGGGGGCUGCGCGGGGACUGCGCGGGGGCUGCGCGGGGACUGCGCUCCGGCCGGCCCUGGCUCCCCUCCCUGCCAAAGCGCACGGCCCGCGCGAAUUUGUUGCAUUUCCUCGAUUGAUUGUUUAGUUAGAGAUUUUGCCAACUUCCUGAUGGUUCAUUUUGUGACUUUGAAAAAAAAAAAAAGCAAAAAAAAAAAAAAAAGCGCCGCAUUUCCUUUUUGACUUAAGAGGAGAGAGAGAAGCGGAGGCUGGGGGACUCAUCGAGCUCGACUGCAGAGCAGAACAGGAGACAGAAAGGAGGACAUGGGCAGGAGAGAGCAUGUAGUCCCCCCUCAGCCUCCGAAUGCAGACAAAGGAACUCCAAACUGUGACUGCAGUUGUGCCGUGGCCCAUUUUGGACUCCAGCUGACUUAGGACCAAGAUUGUGGUAUGUCAAUUUGAAGAAAAGCCAGAAUCUGAAACUGAAACGCCAGUGUUUUCUUCUUGCUAUAAUUGGAAUCUUUCAAGACAAGAUUCCAAUGUUUGAAGGUGCUCACUGCAAGGUUUUGAUCCUUUCCCAUCAAGUUUUCAGUGCUGAUGUAUAAAGCAUUAUACUUGAUGUUGGCUGCCCCCUUCUUCCAUUGAACUCAACAGUGAUUUUAUUCUUUGAUUUCAAGCAGAGCAGAAUCGGGCCAAUGCUAAACACUUUUGGCUGUCCAAAAGACACCGCGGUCCAGAUAACCUGCUCUGGAUCUGCAGGCUGUGCUUUGCAGGCAUUACUGGCUUUGCUUGAGUCAUCAGUAAAGUGCAGCCUUGACUGAAAACAAGAUUUUCUCUCUCGGUUGAACAAACUAGGAACGGUGACCUGAAACACUGCUGUUAUUUGGUGCUUCUUGGGAGCAACCCCGCUUGGGAAGGAAGUUGAAUGCAGUUAAUUUUUGUGAUGAUAAAAAAAAAAAUCUUUUAAUGAAGGGUCGGGUUUGGCCUACAACUCCUUUGCCUCAGGGACUGGGCGUGAAGUGAAGUAGCUCAUCAUCCAUGGGUUUGCCAUGCUAUCUGUAAGGGCGUGAGAAGAACUGUGUUUGUACAUCUGCCAAGCUGUUCCCUGCUGGUCUUUAAGAAACCAAAUUGUAAAAAGCUCUUUCCUGCAGAGUGUUGCAAGGACUGUCUUGAAUUUGGCUUCAGGAAAGGUUUAAUUCAUUUUUUUAUCUGGUUUACUUCACACUAUUUAAAAAAUUAUAUGCAUGUAUCGCAUGGGGCAGAGGACCUACAUCACCUACAGUGAUGGUGAUGGGAGUGGCAAUUACUAUGUGCUAAAGCAACAAGUCAGCAUUAUUUUAAAUCAAUUUUUUUUUUUUUUUGUCCAAUGCAACAUUAAUAUCUUCCGGACAAUGGAUUUUGGAAAAGUUGAAAUGUUUGCUUUACAAAACAGACAUAAAAUUUCUCCUUCAAGGUGCUAAAUUUGUGCUGAGCUGGUCCAAAACACGACUGCAUCUGGCUAUGUCUCGUGUCUGCUACUAAAAAAGCGUCCUAAAUUCCAGACAACCUCUGGGGCUUUGAAAUAAAACUCAUUAAUCCUG